UGGGGAUAGAGGGACUUGA
rnacentral:tRNA from 23 species